rnacentral:rRNA from 1 species
UUUUUAUGUGGACCUCUGUCCUUGUGCUCUGGUACUUGGAUAGAACCACAUAAGCAGGUGAAACUUCUUAGAGGAACUGGCGCUCGAAAAGGCGCACGAGAAAGAGCAAUAACAGGUCUGUGAUGCCCUAAGAUGUCCGGGGCCGCACGCGUGCUACAAUGACGAUGCUACUGAGCAUGAUUAACUUGUCCGAAAGGAUCGGUGAAACUGUUCAAUCAUCGUCGUGACUGGGAUUGGGGUUUGCAAUUGUCCCCCAUGAACCAGGAAUUCCUAGUAAGCACAAGUCAUAAGCUUGUGCUGAUUACGUCCCUGCCCUUUGUACACACCGCCCGUCGCUACUACCGAUUGAAUGGUUUAGCAAGGACAUUGGAUUGAGCCCUUGCGGUUUCGGCUGCUUGGGUUUGAGAAGAUGUCCGAACUUGAUCAUUUAGAGGAAGUAAAAGUCGUAACAAGGUUUCCGUAGGUGAACCUGCGGAAGGAUCAUUA